UGGGAGGGUAAAGAAAUAGUGAGGAAAAUCUGGAGUUUCUGUUUUGGGAUCCUUCCUGGCCUAUACUUGGAGCCCACACACUCAUUUUUCUCCACCUGCACAGGCACAAUCCCAGUCCUGUGCUGGGGUAUCCAUUGCUGCACCUUUCACUGAAGGCAUUUUGCCAUAAAAUCAAGUUUCUACCACGGGGCUGUGAUUCCCACACCCUGAAAGGCCUGAGCAGAGCACAGAACCUGGCUUCUCCUGAGGGAUAAAUUGGUCUUUGCUGUCGUGGAGGACAAGAUUUCAAGUUGGAAUAACUUGAAAAAUGUUUCCUUUCCCUCACAGCAUCUCCCCAGACAGGUUACAUCACCUCUGAGGACACUGACACUUGCUGGAUUUUGUAAGGGAAGAAGAAGCAACUCCUUCUUGGCAUAGAGAACCUGAGUGAUUUGCCCCAAAAGUCCUAUCAGGAACCUGAGCAUCCCAUUCAGGGCAAGACGAGGAGAGUUUCCAUGAGUAUGAAAAUGGGACUAUGCCCAAAGAAUGACUGCAGAAUUCUGCAUGUGUGAAUUCCCUCUGGCACUUAAGAAGCAGUGAGCACAGCCACGUCAGUCCAGAGAAUUCCACAUCAGGAAUGUUUGACGUCCUGUGCCAUUUUAGCACCUCCAAUUGAAUCCAUGCUCUUGUGCCAGCAGGAAGAAAAGCUCAGCAGCACCAGCUGAAGGCCUGGAUGAGUGAAAAACCCUUUGCAUUUCUCAAGGUUCAGGAAAUCGGACCAACAUUUCCCCGUUCAGAAACGAUGACGCCUCAAUUCAUUAGCCCGUGGAUUCAAACAGCAAACGCGGAUUUGAGAGGAAAGCCGAGGGAAAGGACGGGAAAAGAGGGGGACCCAUCCGGGUGUGAGGGGACACAGGGCGGGCAAUGCAGAUCCCGGAUUUUCCUGGGCCAAAAAGAGGAGAAUAAGUGAUCGGAAUGGCCUCGAGAAAGGCAGAGCCCGCAUCACUCCUUUGCAAAAGGAACAAGAUCUCUUUUUUAUCUUUUCUUCUUCCUUUCUUUUCUCUCCUUAAACAUAGCUUUUCCCUCCGUGAGAGGUGUACGUUUAAUUAUAAAAGGGCCUUUUUCUGUUGUAAUCUCUUUCCAGCUCAAUUCCUUUGCUGGAUAAAUCCCUUAAACGUGUUGUCAUUCCUUAUUUAUUGAUUGCAGGUAUUUGGGGUUUAAUUGAGCAAGUCGGUCGUGGCCCAGGGCAGGAGUGGCGCUACAUGAGCAAUUAAAUCUGAUUAGCCCGAGCCCUUUAAGCCCCAGCUGGGUGAUUGAUAACCGAGACCAACAUUCUUCAAUUGACUCGCUACAUCAAAAAGGAGAAAGGCUUAGAGGAGAAACGCAUGGGUCCAACAUGAAAAAUAGCAAAGGAGCCGAGCAGAUUAGAUUUGCAAAGGAGCUGAGCUAACGGCGAAGGGAGCGGGGAGAACAGUCCUGCUCAGCCCGUAAAAUAAAUCCCUACGUGUCUCCUCCUCUAAACUCA
rnacentral:lncRNA from 1 species